UACGGGGGGGGCAAGCGUUGUUCGGAAUUACUGGGCGUAAAGGGCUCGUAGGUGGCCAACUACGUCAUACGUGAAAUCCCUCAGCUUAACUGGGGAACUGCGUCUGAUACUGGAUGGCUUGAGUUUGGGAGAGGGAUGCGGAAUUCCAGGUGUAGCGGUGAAAUGCGUAGAUAUCUGGAGGAACACCGGUGGCGAAGGCGGCAUCCUGGACCAAUACUGACACUGAGGAGCGAAAGCCAGGGGAGCAAACGGG
rnacentral:rRNA from 1 species